GACGAACCGUACGAACGUUAUUCGGAGUCACUGGGCUUAAAGGGUGCGUAGGCUGCGCAGAAAGUUGGGUGUGAAAUCCCUCGGCUUAACCGAGGAACUGCGCCCAAAACUACUGUGCUCGAGGGAGACAGAGGUGAGCGGAACUUAGGGUGGAGCGGUGAAAUGCGUUGAUAUCGGGAGGAACACCAGUGGCGAAGGCGAUCACCUGGGGUUGUUCUGACGCUGAGGAGCGAAAGCCAGGGGAGCAAACGGG
rnacentral:rRNA from 1 species